rnacentral:tRNA from 1 species
GGGCUCGUAGCUCAGUGGGAGAGCGCUCGCCUCACACGCGAGAGGUCAGUGGUUCGAAACCACUCGGGCCCA